rnacentral:rRNA from 1 species
CGCCAGACUCCUACGGGAGGCAGCAGUGAGGAAUAUUGGUCAAUGGGCUUACGCCUGAACCAGCCAAGUCGCGUGAGGGAAGACUGCCCUAUGGGUUGUAAACCUCUUUUGUCAGGGAGCAAAGGGCGCCACGUGUGGCGCUUUGCGAGUACCUGAAGAAAAAGCAUCGGCUAACUCCGUGCCAGCAGCCGCGGUAAUACGGAGGAUGCGAGCGUUAUCCGGAUUUAUUGGGUUUAAAGGGUGCGUAGGCGGAGUUUUAAGGCAGCGGGAAGAUGUCCGGGCUCAACCCGGGCCGGCCGUUGAAACUGGGGAUCUUGAGUGGGCGAGAAGUAUGCGGAAUGCGUGGUGUAGCGGUGAAAUGCGUAGAUGUCACGCAGAACUCCGAUUGCGAAGGCAGCAUACCGGCGCCCGACUGACGCUGAGGCACGAAAGCGUGGGGAUCGAACAGGAUUAGAUACCCCUGUAAAA